UACGGAGGAUGCAAGCGUUAUCCGGAAUGAUUGGGCGUAAAGCGUCCGCAGGUGGCAAUGUAAGUCUGCUGUUAAAGAGUCUAGCUCAACUAGAUACAAGCAGUGGAAACUACAUAGCUAGAGUACGUUCGGGGCAGAGGGAAUUCCUGGUGUAGCGGUGAAAUGCGUAGAGAUCAGGAAGAACACCGGUGGCGAAAGCGCUCUGCUAGGCCGCAACUGACACUGAGGGACGAAAGCUAGGGGAGCGAAUGGG
rnacentral:rRNA from 1 species